rnacentral:misc_RNA from 1 species
AUCCCUUCCCCUCCCCUCGAUGGAUUUCAGACAAAAUUCCUCUCUUACAUCGUCUGCAACUCCACGGCUCUUCCCAUAUUCUGCAUUCGGUUUCCUUCACUCCUCUGUUUCCUUUCAUUUGCAACUCUACAGCUCUACCAACCAUCACCGUCUUCAAUUUCAACUACACAAGUGGGUCUGUGGACAACAAGUAAGAUCAAUUUGAUUCAGAACAGAACCAACUGAUCGUGAGUAUGCACCUUUAAGAGCCACAUUGAAGCCAUCAUUUAUAUCAAGAGUCUCUACUCCAUGGUAUACUCUUCUUAGGAGGAUGCUUUCUUGGGAGUCUUUGUAUCGGGAAUCACAAUUUCACCGGUCUAUCAGGAGUCUCCUUUUUCUUCCUUCUACUUGUUCAUGAUUCAGAGACUCGCGCCAAAAUUUAUGCAAUAUCCUGGAAGAUUUGAAGCACAAGGAACCUGUCUCUUUGGCAAAACAAACACCUUUCCAGCACGAAAUCAUUAGCUUUGCUAUUCAGCUCCUUCAUGACUGGACUGCUGCUAGGGAAUCUGUAACACCCCUGAUUUUUAUAUA